rnacentral:rRNA from 1 species
AACGUAGGAGACAAACGUUAUCCGGAGUUACUGGGCGUAAAGGGCGUGUAGGCGGUUUGUUAAGUCUGGCGUGAAAGCUCUCGGCUAAACCGGGAGAGGUCGUUGGAUACUGGCAAACUUGAGGACGGUAGAGGCGUGUGGAAUUCCGGGUGUAGUGGUGAAAUGCGUAGAGAUCCGGAGGAAGACCGGUGGCGAAGGCGGCCUGCUGGGCAGUUACUGACACUGAUGCGCGACAGCGUGGGGAGCAAACAGG